UAGAAUAAAUCUGUUUGAUUUUGGCUCGAAGCAACUUGGUGCCACACUGGUGUCAAAGAAACCCGAAAUUUAUCAGUGUCAUAAUUUGUAAUUUUCGCGUAAGAAUCAUUGAUAAUUGAAAUUUAUCUUUUUUCGAGCCACCCACCCCGCCCCGCCCCGCCCCCGCGGUCAAUGUUUUUCGGCUCUCGCCGUUGGCCCCGUUAACUUUCCGCCCUUGGCAUUUUUCAAUCAAGCACCCGAAAACUAAUACAAGGAGCCCCUAUGUAUGCAUAUCUUCAUACAAGCCUCAUAACCGCCCCCUUGACAUGCGCAAUCUUCAAGCAUACAGCAUCUCUUCCCUGCCUCACCCUCAACAAAGAUAACGUAGCUUGCAAGUUAUACUGAUCGAGCGGCGACGACUGUGGGAACGUAUUCCCUGGCCCCGUCGUCUGGUCCCAGAGGAUCUCCAGGCCCCCAAAUGUAAAGCCUUCUGUUAGGUGUGGGCUUCGCGAUUGGAUCUCGUUCUAGAUUAGACGGAGGAGGACGUCGUGGGUAAUGCAAGGUUCGAUGAGGAUUGGGGUGGACAAGUGGAAGAAGCGGAGCAUUACGGGAAUUGGGGCUGGGGAUAUGGCCAUUAUGUUCGAGUGAGCAGAGGACCUAGGGUUUAAUAAGGUGAAUAGUAUGAACUAUUUCGAUCUUAUAUGCGGUUGUGUCAAAUGGUGGAGUGCCAUCAGCAGAUAGUACGACUGAAUGAUAAUGUAUCGAGCGGGAAGUUUUCAAAUUUGACGAGAUAUUCCAAAAUAUUUAACAAAUUUUCCGCCUUGGGAUUUUGCGAACCGUUUUAUGCGCAGAUUAAAUACUGCUAAUCUCACAGUGUCCAGUGUCUACAACCGUCGCCCUUACCAUUGAGGUAGAUUAC
rnacentral:sRNA from 1 species